GAUUGCUCCCGGAGGCGGGAUAGCUCCCGGCGCCGGGAGUUGGGUUUGCAGUGCCGGCCGAGAUAAAGAAAGAGCGGGGCUUUAUCUUGUUGCUCAGCCCGGACCGCUGCCGUGCAGCCUGCCUGCGAACCGAAGGGAGCUCCGAAAGGAGGCUACGGGGCUUAAACUCUGGUCCCAGGUUUUAAUAGCAGAGAUGAAUGCUCAGGUGCUCAAGUACCGCUGCCCUCUCUUAAUCCGGGCACUCCCUUUCAUUGCUUUUCCUCAGGAAAAGUCACCCAACACAAAACACACCAGGACGCCUAAUAAUGCUGCCCAUGGCAGGCUUGCUUUUUCUUUAGUCAGAAGAAAAUAGUUUUGAGUUUUGUAUUUGACACUUUGUGCUGAGCUGUGUUGAGGGGCGUGUAUGAAAAAUACACUGCCCCCAAAUCUUGGUUCUUCAGUUGCCGGGUAUGCUCUGGUUAUUGACUGGAUAAUAAAUAGAGACACACACAGUGUGAUUUAGAAGGUAGCUGACUUGGAUUCAGUAGUCAUAGACCUAUACUUUCCUCAGAGAGGUCCAUACCUGUUAUUUAGCAUUUGUAGGACCUUGCCAUCUGGAAAGGUGGAAUGUCAAAUCAUUGUCACCAGUUCAUAAAUUGAUGGGUGUUUAUUUUUUUUUAAUUUUUUGAUAGUGCCUAAUCAGGCUAUUUUUAGAUUUCCCCUAAGGCAGAAAAGAGUUUAAUAAAAACACUUAAAAUUAUGCUGUGUUUUAAUUUAAGGGCAAGCUUUUUCAUUAAAAUGUCUGAGUUUUGCAGAAGUAGUAUUAAAGUCAACAUUAUGUAGUGGUUAGCAGCUCCCAUUUUUGCCAGACUCCAAGCCUAGAAGUGUUUUCAUCUUGAGCUGUGACAAGGGGCCAGCAAAGUUUCCUGUAACAUUUUAUCAGACAGGAGAGACAUUAAGAUACAGAACAGCUAUGUUGGAAGAGACCUUCAAGAUCAUCGAGUCCAACCCAUGCCCCAACACCAGAACUAAACCAUGGCACCAAGUGCCACAUCCAGUCUUUUUUUUAAACAUAUCCAGGGAUGGUGAUUCCACAACUUUAUGAUUCUUUCAGUGAAAAACUUUUUCUGUAUAUCCAACCUAUGUUUCCCUUGGUGCAGCUUGAGACUGUGUCCUCUGGUUCCGUCAGUUGCUUCCUAGAGAAUGAGAUCAAUCCCCAUCUGACUACAACCACCUUUCAGGAAGUUGUAGCCUAAGUGUUUCUUCCCAAGGAAGCAAACUCUAUUCCUCUAAAACAAGCUGGUUAAUAACAAAUAGUGCUUCAGAAAGGAGUUUCUGCAGGUGAUUCUGAACAACUUCUGCAAAUUACCUGAUCUUUGCCACCCUGAGCUUUACCUGCAGUAAAUGUCCUCUUUCUGUUUGUACCUCUUUUUCCCUCCAGUAGCAGCAAUAAUUGCAGUGUGCUUACACGGCUUUCAGCAGUGGCUUUUCUGCUUUGGUACCAAGGUCUGUGUCAACUAAGAGCCCAUGUCCUUUAAAGCUCAGCCCAUUUCUCUCACUAUAAAUACCAGCUGGGUAUCAUUUCCUUUUCAGAUUUUCCCCACGUAUUUUUGUACCUGGUUUGGUUUUUAUCUUUCAGUAAUUAUCCAAAUACCUUUCUAUGUUCAAAGUCUAUUACACCUUUUUUUCAUAACAGUUCAUUAGAGGAGACAUGAUUUUUAGGUCAUUUUUCUGCAUACUGAUCUGCAUUGGAAGAGACAUUAGGCAAAAAGUUGUUUAUAAAGUAACUGUUAUUUUAUGACAUGGAUGCCAUCAAAUAUUAGGUCCGUAAGAGAAAACACAAUUUAUUGAUUAAUGAAAUAAUUUGUAUCUCUUAAAAGAAUUUUCUUAUUAAUAUUGUAUUUUAUCUAAAACAGAGAGAUAUUGUUUUUCAUGCACCCCUUUCAAAAACAACCCUUAACAUGUUUUUUCUUUAACUCCUGUUUUACUAGAUUACAGUAUCUUCAGUGAAUUCUAGAAAGCUGAGCUUUUUGAUGUCUAGAGAGACAUUUAUGGCAGUUUUUCUUCAUAAAGUGUGAGCUAGAAAUAUCUAGUCUAGUAUAAAUACUGUAAGUAGUCUGGUUAUAGCAGUAGAUCGUAUAGACCUUUACACAGGCCUUUUCACUCCUUAUAGCGAAAAGAUUGUUUUGGGGUUUUUUUUAAGAAAAAGCCUUUUAAGGCAGGCUAUGGGAUAAUUUUUUCCAAGGAAAGUAAAGCACGUCUUUUGCUUAUAGGAGCUCUUGAUUCUUCUAACAAUUUUCAAAUUUAUGAUAAUUGUGUAAACUUGUCUUUGUAUUUAACUGCUGACAUUCAGGUUUCAUGGUUUAGUACAUAUCUUUUCAAACCUGUUUCUUUUAUCUCUUCAUUUCACCAUGAAAAUUUUGAGUAUUUUAAGUAAUUUUUAUUUAAUAUAAAUGUUUGACUUACUGAAAAAAAAAUCUGGAAUACCUUUCCUCUCUUUUUGGCAAAGUGACAUUUUUAGUAAUGAAAUGUUUGUUCCUUUUGAAAAACAUCUGACGUCCAAUUUUUUCUUUCUUUUUGUUUCAAGAAGAAAAGAAUUAAAUUUUAACAUUAUAACUUUA